GGGACUGCAAAACAAAGUGGAGAACUUCAUUCAGAAGAAACGCUUGCGCUUGUUCACUAAUUUCACGGCAACUAUUCUGCUGGAUUGACAACUGGAUUGAACUGAACAUGGAUGAGGAUGACAUCGCAGGAUGGAGGAGGAGACUAGGAGGGAGCUGGAUGAGAUGAGAGUGAAGGACCCCGUAAAAGGGAUGGUGGCUCUUGAAGAUUGAAUCUUCUGUAUAUAGACGGAGUGUGCUACAAUUUUUAUUGGUGUGUAACAGAGGUGCCGGCUGCAUUGCCGUAUUGUGAAAUUAUAGGCUUCCCAUGUCGUCACUUGUUAGGAAAAAUUCCCUCGAAAUAUACAUUAUAAAUGACUUAAUUCUACUUAAUGAGUGGCCUCAUGUUACACAGUUGUGAGUUUGAAAAUUUCUCAUCCUUCAUCUUUCUCCUCGUACUUCUUGAUAAGUAAUGUAAUCUAAGUUACAAUCUCUCUCACUCUCUCUCUAGCACUCAUUUAUAUAAAUAUUAGACAUCAGCUUCAUCAAAUUGGAAGAAUUCAUAAAUGAAAAUAACCAGGCUGAUAAUAGAGUAUAAGAAAUAGACACACAAAAAAGAUGAAUAGCACUUAUAUAUAACAAAACAAUCAUUUCCCAUGCACCAUCACAAAAC
ensembl:lncRNA